rnacentral:rRNA from 1 species
AGAGUUUGAUCAUGGCUCGACGAACGCUGGCGGCGUGCCUAAUACAUGCAAGUCGAGCGGACAGAUGGGAGCUUGCUCCCUGAUGUUAGCGGCGGACGGGUGAGUAACACGUGGGUAACCUGCCUGUAAGACUGGGAUAACUCCGGGAAACCGGGGCUAAUACUGGAUGCUUGUUUGAACCGCAUGGUUCAAACAUAAAAGGUGGCUUCGGCUACCACUUACAGAUGGACCCGCGGCGCAUUAGCUAGUUGGUGAGGUAAUGGCUCACCAAGGCAACGAUGCGUAGCCGACCUGAGAGGGUGAUCGGCCACACUGGGACUGAGACACGGCCCAGACUCCUACGGGAGGCAGCAGUAGGGAAUCUUCCGCAAUGGACGAAAGUCUGACGGAGCAACGCCGCGUGAGUGAUGAAGGUUUUCGGAUCGUAAAGCUCUGUUGUUAGGGAAGAACAAGUACCGUUCGAAUAGGGCGGUACCUUGACGGUACCUAACCAGAAAGCCACGGCUAACUACGUGCCAGCAGCCGCGGUAAUACGUAGGUGGCAAGCGUUGUCCGGAAUUAUUGGGCGUAAAGGGCUCGCAGGCGGUUUCUUAAGUCUGAUGUGAAAGCCCCCGGCUCAACCGGGGAGGGUCAUUGGAAACUGGGGAACUUGAGUGCAGAAGAGGAGAGUGGAAUUCCACGUGUAGCGGUGAAAUGCGUAGAGAUGUGGAGGAACACCAGUGGCGAAGGCGACUCUCUGGUCUGUAACUGACGCUGAGGAGCGAAAGCGUGGGGGAGCGAACAGGAUUAGAUACCCUGGUAGUCCACGCCGUUAAACGAUGAGUUGCUAAGUGUUAGGGGGGGUUUUCCGCCCCUUUAGUUGCUGCGGCUUAACGCWUUAAGCACUUCCGCCCUGGGGAGUACGGUUCGCAAGACUGAAACUUCAAAGGAAUUGACGGGGGCYCGCACAAGCGUUGGUGCAUGUUGGUUUAUUCGAGCAASGCGAAGAGCUUUACAGUCUUGACAUUCCUUCUGACCAUUCCUAGAGAAUGGACGUUCUCGAUUCGGGGGGCCGAAGUUGAACCAGU